rnacentral:lncRNA from 1 species
UUUCAGCCACUUCUUUUAAAAAAAAUCUGAAAUUUUUCUCUCCCCCCUCUUCUUUUUCCAAAAGCCGGCCAAGAGUCUCCCCUUUUUUCGCGGAAUGGCCUCCUCGGUGAGUUUCCCUCUCUUCUUCUUUAUUUUCGUUAAAAUAAAUAAAUAAAAACAACGAUAAAAUAAAUAAAUAAAUAAAAACGCAAGAUUGCAAUCUAAGAACCAGGAAUCACCUUGGUUUUCCUUGCCUUUUUAUUUAUUUUCUUUGAUUUUGUCUGACUAUUACAAAAGGAGAAAUCCAAAGAAAAAAAAGAAAAACCCCCUUUUAAGUUACAUUUCUUUCGGCUUUUAUAUCCGAUUUUACUAUUGUUGUUGUUUCCUUUGCAGGUGGCUGGCGGCGCAAGUGGCGAUGGUGAUGGACGUGUGGUGGUGAAUGACGUGCGGUGGUGGCAGUGGCUAGGGGUAGGGUGCGGCGCCACUUGAUUAGGGGCUAGGGUUUUACUUUUGUUUUUUCUGAAAAUGGGUAUUGGGCCUGGGGUAUUGGGUUUGGUUCAAUUGGGUUUGGGUUUAGGUCUUGGGCUGGUGGGUUAGUUGGGUAGUUGGGUCUGUUUUUGUUUUGUUUGUUGGGCCCAGGUUUGGGCAAAAUUGGGUUGUACAAAAUUUUAAUAAUGUUUUAAUUUUUUAUGAAAUAUAUGUGAAUUGCCACACUAAUACUAUUAAAUUUUCAUGAUCUAGUCAACUUUUUCAUCUAGAAAAAUACAAUUGAACUAAAUUUUGAAGAUUGAGAAGCAAAAUAAUCCAAUAAAAAAUAAAACAAAAAAAAUAAUAAAAAAAAUUAUCAUCAUAUACUCUACUCUUUUUUCCCCCCA